rnacentral:snoRNA from 1 species
GAGGAGCUUCUUAUGUAUGUAACUCGGGAAAUCUGAGCGCGCCCCUGACGAGCCAACGGGGGAAUCGUCAGAUGGUGACGCUGAUG